CCUACGGGAGGCAGCAGUGAGGAAUAUUGGUCAAUGGACGAGAGUCUGAACCAGCCAAGUAGCGUGAAGGAUGACUGCCCUAUGGGUUGUAAACUUCUUUUAUAUGGGAAUAAAACGUUCCACGUGUGGGAUUUUGUAUGUAUCAUAUGAAUAAGGAUCGGCUAACUCCGUGCCAGCAGCCGCGGUAAUACGGAGGAUCCGAGCGUUAUCCGGAUUUAUUGGGUUUAAAGGGAGCGUAGGUGGAUUGUUAAGUCAGUUGUGAAAGUUUGCGGCUCAACCGUAAAAUUGCAGUUGAAACUGGCAGUCUUGAGUACAGUAGAGGUGAGCGGAAUUCGUGGUGUAGCGGUGAAAUGCUUAGAUAUCACGAAGAACUCCGAUUGCGAAGGCAGUUCACUGGACUGCAACUGACACUGAGGCUCGAAAGUGUGGGUAUCAAACAGGAUUAGAUACCCUGGUAGUC
rnacentral:rRNA from 1 species